GACGAGCGCUGGCGGCGUGCCUAAUACAUGCAAGUAGAACGCUGAAGCGAGGAGCUUGCUCUUCUUGGAUGAGUUGCGAACGGGUGAGUAACGCGUAGGUAACCUGCCUUGUAGCGGGGGAUAACUAUUGGAAACGAUAGCUAAUACCGCAUAACAAUGGAUGACACAUGUCAUUUAUUUGAAAGGGGCAAUUGCUCCACUACAAGAUGGACCUGCGUUGUAUUAGCUAGUAGGUGAGGUAAUGGCUCACCUAGGCGACGAUACAUAGCCGACCUGAGAGGGUGAUCGGCCACACUGGGACUGAGACACGGCCCAGACUCCUACGGGAGGCAGCAGUAGGGAAUCUUCGGCAAUGGGGGCAACCCUGACCGAGCAACGCCGCGUGAGUGAAGAAGGUUUUCGGAUCGUAAAGCUCUGUUGUAAGUCAAGAACGGGUGUGAGAGUGGAAAGUUCACACUGUGACGGUAGCUUACCAGAAAGGGACGGCUAACUACGUG
rnacentral:rRNA from 1 species